rnacentral:rRNA from 1 species
AGGUGCUGCAUGGCUUUGUCAGCUCGUGUCGUGAGAUGUUGGUUUAGUCCCGCAACGAGCGCAACCCUUGUCAUUAGUUGCUACGAAAGGNCACUCUAAUGAGACUGCCGGUGACAAACCGGAGGAAGGUGGGGAUGACGUCAAGUCCUCAUGGCCCUUAUGGGUAGGGCUUCACACGUCAUACAAUGGUACAUACAGAGCGCCGCCAACCCGCGAGGGGGAGCUAAUCGCAGAAAGUGUAUCGUAGUCCGGAUUGUAGUCUGCAACUCGACUGCAUGAAGUUGGAGUCGCUAGUAAUCGCGGAUCAGCAUGUCGCGGUGAAUACGUUCCCGGGUCUUGUACACACCGCCCGUCACACCAUGGGAGUGGGUUUUACCAGAAGUAGGUAGCUUAACCGCAAGGAGGGCGCUUACCACGGUAGGAUUCGUGACUGGGGUGAAGUCGUAACAAGGUAGCCGU